CAGCUUCUGUUUAAAGGCCUCCAAAGAAGGAGCCUCCACCACACUUCAGGGCAGAGAGUUCCACUGCUGAACAGCUCUCACAGUUAGAAAGUUCUUCCUCAUAUUCAGGUGGAAUCACAUUUUCUGUCAUUUAAAGCUAUUCUGCAUCCUGGUCUCCAGCGCAACAGAAAGCAAGCUUGCUCCCUCCUCCCCAUGACUUCCUCUCACAUAUUUAUACAUGGCCAUCAUGUCUCCUCUCGGAGCCCCCAGUAGCGCAGUAGGUUAAACCCCUAUGCUGGCAGGACUGAAGACCGACAGGUCGCAGGUUCGAAUCCGGGGAGAGGCGGAUGAUCUCCCUCUAUCAGCUCCAGCUCCUCAUGCAGGGACAUGAGAGAAGCCUCCCACAAGGAUGAUAAAAACAUCAAAUCAUCCGGGUGUCCCCUGGGCAAUGUCCUUGCAGAUGGCCAAUUCUCUCACACCAGAAGCGACAAAAAAAAGUCUCCUCUCAACCUUCUCUUCUGCAGGCUUAAAAUGCCUAGCUUUUCAAUUUUCUGCCAGUUCUCUAGACAAGAUAAAAAAAAUGUAUUAUGAUUGCGAACUGAUCUUGGAAAUGCUUUGCAUAUUUCUGAACACCGCAGGAUAGAUUAUGAUGAACACUUACACUCUAGUCUCUUUGCUUCGUUCAGAACUUAGGAAAGCUUCAAGGCAAGCAAUUCCAAGGCAAGCAAUUCCAAGCAUCUUGUCAAAGGUGCCUCCCACCACUGGCUGAGUGAAGAGUGUGAACAGAUUUCUGUUAUUCGUUGAGGAAAUGUAGGGGUCUCUCCUCUCAUUACAGACAUGCCUCAAUUAACAAAGUAUAUAUGUUCUGGGAAUUACUUCUUUAACAUAAAUUUUGAUACUAGAAGCAGAAACGUCUAAUAAAAUAGGUACCUGUAUAACAAAAAAAGGAAUAGCAGGUCAAUGUGCUUUAGUAACCUUUCAACUCAAACUUAAAAUAUACAAAUGUGAAAUUAAUCAGCGAUGUCAGGUAAAACUAGCAUAAAUAAAGAACAGCAUCUUGAAUUGUUGAGAGACCACUUGAAAACUUCUUCCAAAAUGCAUCCAGCAGUGAUUUCUUUUUAUUAGCCACCACUUUUUCUUUUGAUGUUACCCCAAUUUCCUUUUUUUGUUCUCAAACUAAUUGGAAGUUUUUAAUAACAUUAGCAUUGGAAGGGCAAUGGGAGUCUGGAGAAACACAGUUCCAGUUGGAAGCAGUGUGACUGUAGUAAACAAAGUGUGAAUUCUGUGUAUCAAUCUAUCGCAGGCAAGCUAAGAUCAGCUCACUCCAGAAUUCCUUUCAAAGCAUGUUGAACAUCAAAGCUGAGAAAUCUGCCCCACCAGUUAUCCCAUCAUUUUAAAGAAGCAUAGAUCCUAUGACCACCAAAAUAGAAAUAAUAAAGAGUUUGUGAAAAGAAGCUCCUUUGGCAGAACUUUGUUAACUGAGGGCUCCCUGUGAAAAGAAACACAUGUCAACUUGAGAAUUCACGUGUUUGCAAGACUUACAAUGCAAGUAUUUGUAAAUGAUAUUUGCUAAAAUGCACACAGUUGAAAAAAUAUGCACAAACAAAUAGGCUUUACUCAAUGUACAGAAAAUGGUCUCAUGCUAGGAAGAAGGCAAGAUGUAAAUAAAAAAAUCCCCAAACUUUAAAUAAAAUGUAUAAAGAAGGUGUGUAUAAUAGGAAAAUAUGAGUUCAGAUUUCAAAGUGAGAAUUAAAACCAUUGUUACACAAUCUGAUAUGACAAAAGUUAAGAAAAUUCAGAAAAAUUGGGUGAAAGUAACCAAGAGAUUUCCACAUCCCUCAUCUUGGUCAACUAUUUCAAAAUUCCUAUUGAUUGUUUGAAGCUAACAGCUUCGUCACAUGUAGCUGGCCCUCAUUUGAUUUAUUUUCUAAAUAGAACUAAUAGUGAUCUUGAUGCUAACCAUAAAGGUACUAUAGUAUAUGUAAGUUUUAGGAGAAUGUUGAAUGUUUAAGAGUAAACUCUAAUUUUAACCAGUGCAUGGCCAUGAUUAUGGUUCCCAUCCCAGAAUGGAAUCCAUGUCCCAGAUAGUGAGACUAAUACAUUUCUGAGAAUCAACGUCCUUUUUAUAUCACAUGGAGGGAAGAUCAAAAGUUUCUUUUGCCACAUGAGAGUUUGCAUUUUGCAUACAACAUAAAACCCCUAAAGCAUUCUCUAAUUGUCUUUUUCAAGACAAUGGAAACUAAUGGAAUAUCCUGUUCCUUGUGAAUUGAGAAGAAUGACUCUCUUCUCUAUUUAAAUAUUAAUCAUUUUAAAUUAGUAUCUGUUCAAAAUUGUAUCACGUAAUGUUUGAGGUAUCCUUCGGUUUAAAUGUCUGCAUGGUGUAUAGAAACACAUAGGAUGAAGGUUGUGGAUGUUUGUACCCAAAUACACUGAUUCCUUUCAUUCUGUACUUUUUAUGACUUCUACCUGGUGUUAACCUCCUUUUGCUUUAUGUAAUGUUUUUCUUCUGAAGUAGAACCUUGAUCUAGUUGACUUCUGUAAUUUAGUUUGUGUGCAUUCUUGUUUUUCUUCUCUUUUUUCAGUAACAGAUAGGAUGUUGUCUUAUAGCUGCUCCAUACUUGUGACCAAUUUUCUCUUGGUUGGUCAUCUUCACGGUCACACAACCACCCAUUUUUCCUGCUUCAGGUGCUUUCUAAAAAUCCCUCCUCAAGCCACGCUAAAGAGGAGAAGUCUAUUUCAACAGAGGGAGCAGGAGUGCCAGGUUGGCAGCUCAGAAACGUGUGUCCCUCCAGAUGUUGAACUGCAAUUGCCAGUAUGCUUAACCGUUCUAGCCUGCAGUGAGAAAUUCCAAAAGUUGUCAUUCAACAGUAUUUAUAAGGCUGCAGAGUUACCACCCCUGUGCUAACCAAAGAUUUGGAAAGUUCACAAGAUUGCUAGGGAUAGCUGCAGCACCAUAGGUGUGACUCUGUAGUGGUGACAGGUAAAUAAUUUGCUUUCCUAUUACUGCCUUUUGUAAGGGGGUAGCAAUGCAUGUCCACUGUAAGUAGUUACAACUAAGUUUUGAGACUUGCUAAAUCACCUUCCUUGAAUCCAGGGUUGCCAACACUUGUAGUAGUAGUAGUAGUAGUAGUAGUAGUAGUAGUAAUAGGACGAAUCUCUGCUACUUGCAUAACUGGUUCCCCUGGAACCACCACCAUCACCUCCUCUUCCUCCUCUUUGUUGAGUCUGUUUUCUGUUGGUGAAAGAUUGUAUUCGUGUGGAAUAAUUCCACACAAGUGAUGUUUCUCACAGGUUAGCCCAUGUGGUCUUGCAUGCUCAGGUGUAGACUGUUUUCAUUUCUGAUAGAUGUUUGCUUAGGUGCAGCAUAACAAAUGUUUUGUGAAGCACCUUAGAGAAUGAUUUUGAUUCUUAAUAUUGUCAGAAACCACCUGGGACUUUUUACAAAAUUACUGUUUUCACACAUAAAAAAUAUUGGUAGGGGGCUGUAGCACUGAAAAGAUCAUUUUUGAUCCCAAAUAUAUGUUACAGUUUUUGCCUGUGAGGUACUGUGUUCUUUGUUCUGUGACAGUAGGUAAGUGGAUAUUGAAAUCUGCCUUUCAGCUUCUGCUCAGCAGCAAGUCAACAGUGGUGGGCUACAAGAUGGUUUUUUCCCCUGAAAAAGCUUUAUUUAAUAAUAUCUUGUUGCCUCUUUAAGCCAUUUGAGGCUUAAAAUAAUUUAAAUUUAUAUCAGUGGCUGGUUUGUUUCACUGGUUUGUUUCACGUCCACAGGUUACACUUUUGUAUAACCUGCUGUCUGUUCAUUAAUAAUAUGCUAUCUGUAUAUCUUUGGUACAUUUUUAAUUUAUGUUAGAGAACAAUAUUUAAAUACACAGAUGUAAUUGAGGUUGAUAGGAGAUCCUUUUGCUUUCUUUUUGUUUUUUUCUGGAUGUAUUGGAGAAAAAAUGUAAACCAAGGAUGCCAAGCAGGCUUGGUUCAACAGCUAAAAUUAUUAUUGUAUUACAGUGUAAUGCUAUUCUAGGCCUUGUCUCAACACUAGAGCACACAAACUUGAAUAAAACUGUUAUAAAGAAUGAA